GACGAACGCUGGCGGCGUGCUUAACACAUGCAAGUCGAACGGAAAGGCCCUGCUUUUGUGGGGUGCUCGAGUGGCGAACGGGUGAGUAACACGUGAGUAACCUGCCCUUGACUUUGGGAUAACUUCAGGAAACUGGGGCUAAUACCGGAUAGGAGCUCCUGCUGCAUGGUGGGGGUUGGAAAGUUUCGGCGGUUGGGGAUGGACUCGCGGCUUAUCAGCUUGUUGGUGGGGUAGUGGCUUACCAAGGCUUCGACGGGUAGCCGGCCUGAGAGGGUGACCGGCCACAUUGGGACUGAGAGACGGCCCAGACGCCUACGGGAGGCAGCAGUGGGGAAUAUUGCACAAUGGGCGGAAGCCUGAUGCAGCAACGCCGCGUGCGGGAUGACGGCCUUCGGGUUGUAAACCGCUUUCGCCUGAGACGAAGCGUGAGUGACGGUAAUGGGUAAAGAAGCACCGGCUAACUACGUG
rnacentral:rRNA from 1 species